GGACUGUGGAAGGCCAAAAUAAAAUUUAUUUGGAGCAUAGAAGAAUGUAACUUGAGACAGGAAUCCGGGCACAGACUUUCUAACAAAAAUGAUUCUUCUUUUGAAGAGUGCUUAUGUUUUCUCUCCCUCUCUGGUAACAAACCAAGGGGUGUUAGAGAGCUUUGAAUACUUCUCUUUUCUGCAAUCUUCUCUUUUUCUGACCAAUGAUGAAAACAUCAAUGGUUACAAGCCCUUGAGAGUCAGAGGACGUGAUUGGCUACCACUUGUAUCCGUGGUAUACAGUGUUUGCAUUUUAAAACUGCGAUUCACUAUGUUAAGUUUUGUGUUUGUAAACACUUCAAAAGCUACCUAUCAAAUCUAUUACCUCUUAAAACCUGGCAGUUCAAACCCUUAAAGUUUAAACCC
rnacentral:lncRNA from 1 species